UCCACGGAGGCCGCGCAGACCCAGAGCAGCAGGAGCAGCGGCGCACGCACGUCCAGGAGGCGCCGCCGCCGCGGCCACAGCCAGGGACACCUGCGCGGGACAGGCACGGGGCCAGCAUCCUGAGCCCCACCUGCGGGCCCUGAGCGCCUUCCUCCCGGCAGCUGUGCCCCCACCCCACCGGACCGCUCCCUGCAACCAGAGAGCCCUCACUCACACCAGCAACCCCCUGCCACGCACCUGCUCCCUCCUGGUGCGCACAAAACUCAUGGCACUGACUUGACAGCUUUCUCUAAAACCCUGAUUCCACCUUGGCCCAUCCACACUGUCCCUUCCCGGCCGGGGCUCAUCUCCUAUGCCUGGACCAAGCAGCAUAGUCUCCUGUCUCCCUGGUCUACCCACACGUGGCCCCACCCAUCCUCUGAAGCAGCCCCAGGAGGAAGCAGUGACUUCACACUUCUAGUGCCCGGCCCUCUGGGCUUGCUUGCCAGGGUCCUCCCAACCUGACCACUGCCUCCCACCUCCUCUCCACUCCUGUGGCUUUCCAGCCGCAGCUGCACGGCCUGCUUGGGAUUCUCCUCUGCUGGCAUCAUCCCUGCCUGCCUCAGCCUUCCCAGGCCCAGUCCUGCCCAGUCUCACCCCUUCCCACCCAUCCACCUGGCCAGGUCCCCACCAGCAUCUGCCUUCAAACCUGGAAUCCUUCUCUGAGUGCUUGUGGUCCACUGUGAGGAAGGAAAUCAAUUUAAAGGAUUAUGACCCACAUUUUUUUAAAAAUAAAAAGAUUAAGGAGAACA